UACGUAGGUGGCAAGCGUUGUCCGGAUUUAUUGGGUUUAAAGGGUGCGUAGGCGGUUUUCUAAGUCAGCAGUGAAAUACGGCAGCUCAACUGUCGAGGUGCUGUUGAUACUGGGGAACUUGAGUACUGAUGAGGUAGGCGGAAUGGACGGUGUAGCGGUGAAAUGCUUAGAGAUCGUCCAGAACACCGAUAGCGAAGGCAGCUUACUAAGGAGUAACUGACGCUGAGGCACGAAAAGUGUGGGGGAUCAAAACAGG
rnacentral:rRNA from 1 species